rnacentral:rRNA from 1 species
AUGAAACACUCCUACGGGAGGCAGCAGUGGGGAAUCUUGCGCAAUGGGCGAAAGCCUGACGCAGCCAUGCCGCGUGAAUGAUGAAGGUCUUAGGAUUGUAAAAUUCUUUCACCGGGGACGAUAAUGACGGUACCCGGAGAAGAAGCCCCGGCUAACUUCGUGCCAGCAGCCGCGGUAAUACGAAGGGGGGUAGCGUUGCUCGGAAUUACUGGGCGUAAAGGGAGCGUAGGCGGACUGUUAAGUUAGAGGUGAAAGCCCAGGGCUCAACCUUGGAAUUGCCUUUGAUACUGGCAGUCUUGAGUACGGAAGAGGUAUGUGGAACUCCGAGUGUAGAGGUGAAAUUCGUAGAUAUUUGGAAGAACACCAGUGGCGAAGGCGACAUACUGGUCCGUUACUGACGCUGAGGCUCGAAAGCGUGGGGAGCAAACAGGAUUAGAAACCCUUGUAGUCCGAAGUUC